GACGAACGCUGGCGGCGUGCUUAACACAUGCAAGUCGAACGGAAAGGCCCUGCUUUUGUGGGGUGCUCGAGUGGCGAACGGGUGAGUAACACGUGAGUAACCUGCCCUUGACUUUGGUAUAACUUCAGGAAACUGGGGCUAAUACCGGAUAGGAGCUCCUGCUGCAUGGUGGGGGUUGGAAAGUUUCGGCGGUUGGGGAUGGACUCGCGGCUUAUCAGCUUGUUGGUGGGGUAGUGGCUUACCAAGGCUUUGACGGGUAGCAGGCCUGAGAGGGUGACCGGAAAAAUUGGGACUGAGAGACGGCCAAGACUGCAACGGGAGGCAGCAGUGGGGAAUAGUGCAAAAGGGGCGGAAGCCUGAUGCAGCAACGCCGCGUGCGGGAUGACGGCCUUCGGGUUGUAAACCGAUUUCGCCUGUGACGAAGAGUGAGUGACGGUAAUGGGUAAAGAAGCACCGGCUAACUACGUG
rnacentral:rRNA from 1 species